UCGCCUCUCCAACUGUUCCUUUAUUUUAUUUUUUUGUGCAAAAAUUGGGCUCAAUAAAGGAACAGUUGGAGAGGCGA
rnacentral:miRNA from 1 species